GUUGUUUGUGGUCCUGAGUGAUUCUCUGCAACAACAACUGAAGUGGAUUUAAACAUUGAAAGUGUACCAAUGGUCCUUCUGUGUUAGCGGCUGAAAAUGUGGUUUUGUCAGGUCUUCCUCUUCUGAUGCUAUGAUGCCCAGUUCUGUCUGUGUGUAGUCUGGUGCUGUGAGGUUUCUAGGCUUCACAGACAACAGUCUGGUUUCUAGGCUUCACAGACAACAGUCUGGUGCUGUGAGGUUUCUAGGCUUCACAGACAACAGUCUGGUUACUAGGCUUCACAGACAACAGUCUGGUGCUGUGAGGUUACUAGGCUUCACAGACAACAGUCUGGUGCUGUGAGGUUUCUAGGCUUCACAGACAACAGUCUGGUUACUAGGCUUCACAGACAACAGUCUGGUGCUGUGAGGUUACUAGGCUUCACAGACAACAGUCUGGUUACUAGGCUUCACAGACAACAGUCUGGUGCUGUGAGGUUUCUAGGCUUCACAGACGACAGUCUGGUUACUAGGCUUCACAGACAACAGUCUGGUGCUGUGAGGUUACUAGGCUUCACAGACAACAGUCUGGUGCUGUGAGGUUACUAGGCUUCACAGACAACAGUCUGGUUACUUGGCUUCACAGACAACAGUCUGGUGCUGUGAGGUUACUAGGCUUCACAGACAACAGUCUGGUUACUAGGCUUCACAGACAACAGUCUGGUUACUAGGCUUCACAGACAACAUUAUGACACUCCUUCCUGUCUGAAAGCGUCCCCAUGUUCAGAAUUAUAUUUGUAUUAUUCUCA